UAGUACGGCGAGUGCCGAGGUAAGAGCCCAAGAUUCAAAGCUGUCGUCCUCGGCGUCCGCAUUGUAAUCUCAAGAAGUGUUUUCCGCCCCGUUAUGGAUAUGCAAGCCCUUGAAAAAGGGCAUCAUAGAGGGUGAUAAUCCCGUACAUGGCAUGGAGCGCCCGAAGCUUUUCCAUAAGCUUUCUAAGAGCAGAGUUGUUUGGGAAUGCAGCUCAAAAUGGGUCUAAAUGCCAUCUAAGGCUAAAUAUUGGGGAGAGACCGAUAGCGAACAAGUACAGUGAUGGAAAGAUGAAAAGAACUUUGAAAAGAGAGUUAAACAGUACGUGAAAUUGCCAAAAGGGAAGGGUAGACAGGUCAGAGAUGCGGCCUGGGAUUCUCGCUUGCUUUUGCUUGGUGUUUUUCCCAGAUUGCAGGCCAUCGUUGGUUUUGGGCACUGCUUCAAGGGUAUGAGGAACUUGGCACCUCUCGAUGUGCGGUAUAGUCUCCUACUGCAUACAGCUACCGAAACCGAUGACAGCAGCUGACUCGCUAAAGCGCAUCUUCGACCACCUUUAACUUUAGGACCAUGGCAUAAUGGCCCUCUACCACCCGUCUUGAA
rnacentral:rRNA from 1 species